AUGAGAUUCACGAUGGAAUGAAUUUAGAGCUGUACUACCAAUAAAUAUUAGUUUUAUAUUGGAGAAAACACUUGUACUUUUUGGAUUUUUUUUUAAAUGAAUGGAAUUCAAUGGCAGUAAUUUUGUCGGUUUUGUUUAUAUUAGUAUGUGAAAAGAAUGCGGGGAAUAAAUAUAAUAUUGUUCAUUUUGCUAAAGUUUUAUCAGAAAACUUUUAAAAAAUUGUAAGUGCUCUCAUGUUUACUUCUAUAUGCCCUUCUCCCCCCUCUAUAUAUACGCACUGAACGCUUACAAGAAGAUAAAUUAAUUUGCUACUAGUUUAAUGUGGGUUAAAAUAAUUUUGAAACGCAAGGAACUAAUAUGUGUGAGGCUUUAUGAAGCAGUAAGAAGACUACAUUAGCAACUAAAAUAGAGAAAAUCGUCAUGUUUCUUGCCUAAGUGAUGUAAUAAAUUUGUCAUAUAUGUAGCGGAGAUCCAUCAUGUAUUUAUUAUGGGUGUGAUUAGCACCCUCUGACGAAAACGAUGUCAUAACUUUGCGUAUACGAUAUUGGUCUCUAAAACGCCCUGGCCAAUCUUUUCGCGAUGCGGACAAGUUUAACCCUAAUCGGACCAUAUGUGUGGUUUUAUAACAAAUCUAAACACUAUAAGCCUCAUAGGCUCUUAUGAGGAUCGUGACAAUAUUUAAAUGUUACUAAAUAUGUCUAUACCUUAAUAUCAAACGAGCCAGGCCAUACGGGAUAUAUUCAUUAUAUCAAAGCGUUUGCAACGGCCAAACAGAAGUUUCAGAGGCGCAGCAAAUCAUGUCUGAUGAUACUGGCAAACAAGACUGCUCCACCGAGAGGAUCGAAGGGACCCCAAAAAUUGUGUAUUCAUACGUGUUAGACGGGCAUCGCCUUGUCUUCAUGGGAGACACAGGGCUCUUACUCAUUUUCUUCUUCUUGCAUCCCGGGAGUAAUAUGGGCUCGUAAUUGAUUGGAAUUUUUACUGAGAGUUGGAAACCGUG